rnacentral:rRNA from 1 species
CGAGCACGCGCGUGUGGCAUAUCAAUAAGCGGAGGAAAAGAAACUAACAAGGAUUCCCUUAGUAACGACGAGUGAAGCGGGAAGAGCUCAAAUUUGAAAUCUUCAAGGUUCUACCUUGACGAAUUGUAGUUUAUAGAAGUGCUUUCUGUUAGUGGAGUGGCAAAAGUUCUUUGGAAUAGGACAUCAUAGAGGGUGAGAAUCCCGUAUUUGGUCAUUCCUCCUAGCGUUGUGAUACACUUUCAACGAGUCGGAUUGUUUGGGAAUGCAGUCCAAAAUGGGUGGUAAAUUUCAUCUAAAGCUAAAUAUUGGCGAGAGACCGAUAGCGAACAAGUACCGUGAGGGAAAGAUGAAAAGAACUUUGAAAAGAGAGUUAAACAGUACGUGAAAUUGUCAAAAGGGAAGCGUUUGACACCAGUGUUGUUUUUCCGAAAAUCAAUUACGAAUGUUUUGUUUUUGAGGAGUUAUGACUUCAUCGGCUUGCUCCUUUCUUUAUGAAACUUUCUUAAUGCACUUUUCGGUUAACAAGUCAACAUCAAUUUCUUUUGUUGUAAAAGGGUAUGAGGAAGGUGGCUUUCUUUUCGGAGAAAGUGUUUAUAGCCAUGUGCCUCUGCAAUCGGAGAGAUUGAGGUCUGCAGCGUAGAUCCUUCGGGGUAAGAUACGUUUGUGCUAAGUUAUAGCUUUUCAUAGACAACUUGUUGACUAUGUUUAGUCUUGUAGCUUACUCGCUUAUGCUGUUUUACCUACGCUUAGGAUGUUGAGCGCAUGUCUCUCUCU